AUUGAACGCUAGCGGGAUGCCUUACACAUGCAAGUCGAACGGAGUGGCGAACGGGUGCGUAAUGUAACGGCACGUGCCCAGACGCAGGGGAUAACGACGCGAAAGCGUAGCUAAUACCGCAUACUCUCGGUACGGCCGCGAUCGGAUUAGCUGGUUGGUGGGGUAAAGGCUCACCAAGGCGACGGUCCGUAGCUGGUUUGAGAGGACGACCAGCCACACUGGGACUGAGACACGGCCCAGACUCCUACGGGAGGCAGCAGUGGGGAAUUUUGGACAAUGGGGGAAAGCCUGAUCCAGCCAUCCCGCGUGUGCGAUGAAGGCCUUCGGGUUGUAAAGGACUUUUGGCAGGAAAGCGGUACCUGCAGAAUAAGCACCGGCUAACUACGUGCCAGCAGCCGCGGUAAUUC
rnacentral:rRNA from 1 species